AGAGUUUGAUCCUGGCUCAGGAUGAACGCUAGCUACAGGCUUAACACAUGCAAGUCGAGGGGCAGCAUGGUCUUAGCUUGCUAAGGCCGAUGGCGACCGGCGCACGGGUGAGUAACGCGUAUCCAACCUGCCUUACACUCUUGGACAGCCUUCUGAAAGGGAGAUUAAUACAAGAUGUUAUCAUGAGUAAGCAUUUUCGCAUGAUUAAAGGUUUACCGGUGUAAGAUGGGGAUGCGUUCCAUUAGAUAGGUAGGCGGGGUAACGGCCACCUAGUCUUCGAUGGAUAGGGGUUCUGAGAGGAAGGUCCCCCANAUUGGAACUGAGACACGGUCCAAACGUCCUACGGGAGGCA
rnacentral:rRNA from 1 species